rnacentral:rRNA from 1 species
GUAGGUGGGCAAGCGUUGUCCGGAAUUAUUGGGCGUAAAGCGCGCGCAGGCGGUCCUUUAAGUCUGAUGUGAAAGCCCACGGCUCAACCGUGGAGGGUCAUUGGAAACUGGGGGACUUGAGUACAGAAGAGGAAAGCGGAAUUCCAAGUGUAGCGGUGAAAUGCGUAGAGAUUUGGAGGAACACCAGUGGCGAAGGCGGCUUUCUGGUCUGUAACUGACGCUGAGGCGCGAAAGCGUGGGGAGCAAACAGGAUUAGAUACCCUGGUAGUCCACGCCGUAAACGAUGAGUGCUAAGUGUUAGGGGGUUUCCGCCCCUUAGUACUGCAGCUAACGCAUUAAGCACUCCGCCUGGGGAGUACGGCCGCAAGGCUG